UGCAGUCGAACGGCAGCACAGUAAGAGCUUGCUCUUAUGGGUGGCGAGUGGCGGACGGGUGAGGAAUACAUCGGAAUCUACCUUUUCGUGGGGGAUAACGUAGGGAAACUUACGCUAAUACCGCAUACGACCUUCGGGUGAAAGCAGGGGACCUUCGGGCCUUGCGCGGAUAGAUGAGCCGAUGUCGGAUUAGCUAGUUGGCGGGGUAAAGGCCCACCAAGGCGACGAUCCGUAGCUGGUCUGAGAGGAUGAUCAGCCACACUGGAACUGAGACACGGUCCAGACUCCUACGGGAGGCAGCAGUGGGGAAUAUUGGACAAUGGGCGCAAGCCUGAUCCAGCCAUACCGCGUGGGUGAAGAAGGCCUUCGGGUUGUAAAGCCCUUUUGUUGGGAAAGAAAAGCAGUCGGCUAAUACCCGGUUGUUCUGACGGUACCCAAAGAAUAAGCACCGGCUAACUUCGUGCCAGCAGCCGCGGUAAUACGAAGGGUGCAAGCGUUACUCGGAAUUACUGGGCGUAAAGCGUGCGUAGGUGGUUGUUUAAGUCUGUUGUGAAAGCCCUGGGCUCAACCUGGGAAUUGCAGUGGAUACUGGGCGACUAGAGUGUGGUAGAGGGUAGUGGAAUUCCCGGUGUAGCAGUGAAAUGCGUAGAGAUCGGGAGGAACAUCCAUGGCGAAGGCAGCUACCUGGACCAACACUGACACUGAGGCACG
rnacentral:rRNA from 1 species